rnacentral:lncRNA from 1 species
AUUGAUGGGUAUUGAAGCAACGCCCGCGCGCUAUGUUCUUGAAGCAGUAUUUUGUCAUACAUUCGCGGGAGAACAGCUUUGCAAAGUUUUGUCAGCAACUAUUUAAUUUAAUGUCAUUUAUUUGAGGUACUUGGCAGACGGUAGCUGCGUGUUAUUAGUACAACCUUUACAGUCUGUUGGCUGCACACUACUAGACAGCUAACAACAUAACUGGCAAACUUUUUGAAAGAGGUCUGUCGUUUUGAUCCAAAGUAUCUAAUAUGGCAACCAUGUGUCACUCAAGACGUGCCCUGAUGGAAAUCCCAGCUCCACAGCCGAAAAUUGCAGCUCGACUGAGAAGGUCAUACCUGGAGGUUCUAAGUUCACGCAUAGCUCCAUUCUCAACCACCUCUAGAGGCAGAAACCUGACCAGCAACUCAAAACGUGGGCAUUCAUUGAACCCAGCCAUAUACAGAACAGGGAGUAGUCGGAGUGAGGCCCAAAGUGAGAGAAUGGAAGACAACCAGACACCCCUGUCCAACCAGCAGCUUGUGCAGCUCAUAAGAUCUUUCAUCUUAGUAGAACAGGGGCAGAGGCAGGAGCCCAGAGCCCUCACUACGGACCUGAAACCUUUACAGGAGGACCUGCACCUGAAGAAGACCAAUGUCUAUAGAUCUAUACCCUACUCACGCCUGGGGUCCAACAGAGACGCACACUGUUACAGAAAGGCAUAUCCACACCUGGUGGUGUUUAAAGUUUCCUGCCAGGAGUGGGGUCAGCUGCUGCUGCAGAAUGAGGAGUGGGAGUCUGCUCUGGAGCACGCCCUAGUGGCGUGGAGGUACACCAGUGAACUGCCACAGUGGGACACCAGCAGCCACAACUUGGUGAGGGAACAGUGUUACAGCAUGCUGGCAGCACACUGCAUCACAGCUCUACAGCACUAUUGCCCAGACCCCAGCAAAGCAAUAGAGCUGCACAGGAGGUAAGAGUCCUCCUUUCUUUGGAACCUUUUCACAGGUCAUGCUUGAAUUGUUAACACUGUAUUGGGUUUUAAACUGUUUCCGUUGACUGAGAAUUGGCAGCGUUUGGACGGUAAAAAUGCAUAAAACCAGAUAAAUAAAUAUGCUCUAUAAAAUCACUUUGGCUAUGCAUGGAGGUUGGUUCUGGUUGUUUUUUAAUCGUAUCUCUCUAGUCUGUAAACUCUGCCUGUUAGUCUUGAGCUCUUGCUAUAGCAAACUUUCAACACUGUAUUACCUGAUACCGGUUCACAAAGUGAGUCUGACAGAUGAGGCUCCAGUGUGACCAUUUUACUCGCAUAUGCCCUUAAAUAUUCUGCUGUGCAGCUUGGAAUUCUAAUUUAGGAGCAACAGUGCACCUAGCAACAUUAUGGAUUCUAGCUUUAUUACCUCGUGUAAAUAAGUUGUGUAAAAACACACAGACCGGACAAAUGGAUUAUGGUCAUUGUAGUUAGUUCAGCGCAGAAAACGUGGUAAUUAUGUAGAACAUUGGUCUGUUGGAAAUUACAACCUCCUACUACAUCGCCCAGCCUGUGCUUGAUCAGAUUUUUCUCUAGAGAAACUGCACAUUGGCAUCAGUCUGGCAAAUUGAAAUAUGUUUGGACAUUUGACCGGCACAACUUUUUCCUGAUGGAAACACCGGGAGUAAAAGACACCUACAGUGGCAAGAAAAAGUAUGUGAACCCUUUGGAAAUACUUGGAUUUCUGCAUAAAUUGGUCAUAAAAUUUGAUCUUCAUCUCGGUCACAAAACAAGACAAACACUCUGCUUAAACUAAUCACACAAACAAUUAUGUUUAUGUCUGUAUUGAACACACCGUGUAAACAUUCACAGUGCAGGGUGGGAAAAAGUAUGAACCCUUGAAUUUAAUAACUGGUUGACCCUUUGGCAGCAAUAACCUCAACCAAAUGUUUUCUGUAGUUGCAGAUGAGACCUGCACAAUGGUCAGGAGGAAUUUUGGACAAUUACUCUUUACAAAACUGUUUCAGUUCAGCAAUAUUCUUGAUGUCUGGUGUGAACCACUCUCUUGAGGUUAUGCCACAGCAUCUCAAUCGGGUUGAGGUCAGGACGCUGACUGGGCCACUCCAGAAGGUGUAUUUUCUUCUGUUGAAGCCAUUCUGUUGUUGAUUUACUUCUGUGUUUUGGGUCAUUGUCCUGUUGCAUCACUGGACUUCUGUUGAGCUUUAAUUGGCGGACAGAUAGCCUAACAUUCUCCUGCAAAAUGUCUUGAUAAACUUGGGAAUUCAUUUUUCCGUCGAUAAUGGCAAGCUGUCCAGGCCCUGAGGCAGCAAAGCAGCCCCAAACCAUGGCGCUCCCUCCACCAUACUUUACAGUUUGGAUGAGGUUUUGAUGUUGGUGUGCUGUGCCUUUUUUUUCCUCCACACACAGUGUUGUGUGUUCCUUCCAAACAACUCAACUGUAGUUUCAUCUGUCCACAGAAUAUUUUGCCAGUAGUGCUUUGGAACAUCCAGGUUCACUUUCACAAACUUCAGACGUGCAGCAAUGUUUUUUUGGACAGCAGUGGCUUCUUCCGUGGUGUCCUCCCGUGAAAACCAUUCUUGUUUUACGUAUUGUAGUCUCAUCAACAGAUGAGAAAUUAGCAUGUUCCAGAGAUUUCUGUAAGUCUUUAGCUGAUUCUACUUAACCUCAUUGAGCAUUCUGUGCUGUGCUCUU